UCGCACCUACCGAUUGAAUGGUCCGGUGAAAUCCUCGGACUGUGACAUUGCUUUGAUUUCGGUCAAACGUUGUUGUGGGAAGUUGAUUAAAUCUUACCAUUUAGAGGAAGGUG
rnacentral:rRNA from 1 species